GGUAGGUGCGCAUCUACCUCCCUGUGGGAGCAGCUGGCCACGGGAGCGCCCUUUCAGCAGAGGCUCCCUGGCGUGUUCUGUACGGGGCAACCGCCAACCCCUGAACUCAGAUUUUGGUGUUGCUGUUGGUGAAGGAUCUCAGCUCUCCAGAAGGCACACAGAUGAAGUGAGAAGGUUGCUGGGACCAAGGGAGAGGAGAGGCGCAGAGAGCCUGCUGGACUGGGCGGCUGCUGCAGCCUUCCUGGAGGCCAAGUUCAUGACCAGAGGUCUCUUCCCCUUUAGGGCAGACUCUCCUGCCUGGCAGCCUGGGGACUCCUGGAAAUCCGAAAGGUGCUGACUAGUAUUAUGCUGAUCUCUGUUGACACCACAGAACAUUGCUUAUCAGCAGUUGCACACCUCAGGAGAUGGUAAAGAGGCACUUGAGAAGGUCCACGUGUCCAUCGCCUUUGGGACCCCGCAGUUCCAAGGAAGUGGUAGUGUGUUUGUGGAGGGAUGUGUUUUCUCCUGAAGAGAACACACAUGGAAGCACAGUGCAACAAAGCAGAGCUCAGCUCAUCUCGGGGGCUGCCCACACCCGCUGAGUCACUCAUAAUGGCCCCUCAGAUGUCAUUUUCUUGCUAAGACAUUUGGAAAAAUUUCUGCUUCUGAAUCACAAGCAAACACUAUAAUUCAACAAUCUUCUCUGAGUUAUUCAAGGAACUUCAAGGCACUCAGAAGUGGAAGA